rnacentral:tRNA from 1 species
GCCUUGCUGCGCGAGGACUUGCGCGCCGCGCUGCGUUCGCUGCCCGAUGUCGGCCGGGCGCUCGGCCGCGUGGUU